rnacentral:rRNA from 1 species
AUUGAACGCUGGCGGCAGGCCUAACACAUGCAAGUCGAACGAGUGGCGGACGGGUGAGUAAUGUAUGGGAAACUGCCUGAUGGAGGGGGAUAACUACUGGAAACGGUAGCUAAUACCGCAUACCAUCAGAGGUGCCCAGAUGGGAUUAGCUAGUAGGUGGGGUAAUGGCUCACCUAGGCGACGAUCCCUAGCUGGUCUGAGAGGAUGACCAGCCACACUGGAACUGAGACACGGUCCAGACUCCUACGGGAGGCAGCAGUAGGGAAUAUUGCACAAUGGGCGAAAGCCUGAUGCAGCCAUGCCGCGUGAGUGAAGAAGGCCUUCGGAUUGUAAAGCACUUUCAGCGGGGAAGCGUUACUCACAGAAGAAGCAACGGCUAACUCCGUGCCAGCAGCCGCGGUAAUAC